rnacentral:misc_RNA from 1 species
GAUGAAGAACGUAGCGAAACGCGAUAGUUAAUGUGAAUUGCAGAAUUCAGUGAAUCAUCGAGUCUUUGAACGCACAUUGCGCCCCCUGGUAUUCCGGGGGGCAUGCCUGUCCGAGCGUCAUUGCUGCCCAUCAAGCGCGGCUUGUGUGUUGGGCCGCCGUCCGCCUUCCCCCCCGGGGGGAGGGGGACGGGCCCGAAAGGCAGCGGCGGCACCGCGUCCGGUCCUCGAGCGUAUGGGGCUUUGUCACCCGCUCUGUAGGCCCGGCCGGCGCUUGCCGAUCAACCCAAAUUUUUAUCCAGGUUGACCUCGGAUCAGGUAGGGAUACCCGCUGAACUUAAGCAUAUCAAUAAGCGGAGGA